UACGAAGGGGGCUAGCGUUGCUCGGAAUUACUGGGCGUAAAGCGCACGUAGGCGGCUUUCUAAGUCGGGGGUGAAAUCCUGGAGCUCAACUCCAGAACUGCCUUCGAUACUGGAAAGCUCGAGUCCGGGAGAGGUGAGUAGAACUGCGAGUGUAGAGGUGAAAUUCGUAGAUAUUCGCAAGAACACCAGUGGCGAAGGCGGCUCACUGGCCCGGUACUGACGCUGAGGUGCGAAAGCGUGGGGAGCAAACAGG
rnacentral:rRNA from 1 species